UCAAGUUAUUAAGGGUGCAGGGCGGAUGCCUUGGCACUAGGAGCCGAUGAAGGACGUGAUAAGCUGCGAUAAGCUUCGGGGAGUUGCACGUAAACUUUGAUCCGAAGAUUUCCGAAUGAGGAAACUCACUUAGAGUAAUGUCUAAGUAUCAUUAAGUGAAUACAUAGCUUAAUGAGGGGAACUCAGGGAACUGAAACAUCUAAGUACCUGAAGGAAGAGAAAGAAAUUCGAUUCCGUAAGUAGCGGCGAGCGAACGCGGAUUAGCCCAAACCAAUAAAGUUUUCUUUAUUGGGGUUGCGGACAUAUCAUAACGAAGAGGUAUCGUAAUUGAAGAGGUUUGGAAAGACCCACCACAGAAGGUAAUAGUCCUGUAUGUUAAACGAGAAGACUUCAGAUAUGAUCCAGAGUACCACGGGACACGUGAAACCCUGUGGGAAGCAGGAGGGACCACCCUCCAAGGCUAAAUACUACCUAGUGACCGAUAGCGUAUAGUACCGUGAGGGAAAGGUGAAAAGAACCCCGGGAGGGGAGUGAAAUAGAACCUGAAACCCUGCACUUACAAGCUGUGGAAGCACAUUUCUUGUGUGACCGCGUACUUUUUGUAGAACGGGCCAACGAGUUACGUUAAGUAGCAAGGUUAAGCACUUAAGGUGUGGAGCCGUAGCGAAAGCGAGUUUUAACUGAGCGUUCAGUUACUUGACGUAGACCCGAAACCGGGCGACCUACCCAUGAGCAGGAUGAAGCGAAAGUAAAAUUUCGUGGAGGUCCGAACCCACGAGCGUUGAAAAGCUCGGGGAUGACUUGUGGGUAGCGGUGAAAUUCCAAUCGAGCCCGGAGAUAGCUGGUUCUCCCCGAAAUAGCUUUAGGGCUAGCCUCAAGGUGAGAGAUACGGAGGUAGAGCACUGAAUGUCCUAGGGGGUAUUGCACCUACCGAAGACUAUCAAACUCCGAAUGCCGUCAUCUUAUACUUGGGAGUCAGACUGUGGGUGAUAAGAUUCAUAGUCGAAAGGGCAACAGCCCAGAUCGUCAGCUAAGGUCCCUAAAUGUAAGUUAAGUGGUAAAGGAUGUGGGAUUGCACAGACAACCAGGAUGUUGGCUUAGAAGCAGCCACUCAUUCAAAGAGUGCGUAAUAGCUCACUGGUCGAGUGAUCCUGCGCCGAAGAUUUCCGGGGCUAAAACUUACUACCGAAGCUACGGCAUCAGUAAAUGAUGGGUAGGGGAGCUUCCCAUACGGGUUGAAGCAUGACCGUAAGGACAUGUGGACAGUAUGGGAGUGAGAAUGUUGGCAUGAGUAGCGAGAUGUGGGUGAGAAUCCCACAGGCCGUAAACCCAAGGUUUCCAGGGGAAGGUUCGUCCGCCCUGGGUUAGUCGGGACCUAAGCUGAGGCCGAAAGGCGUAGGUGAUGGACAACAGGUUGAUAUUCCUGUACUACCGAUAACCGUUUGAGAGAAGGGAUGACACAGUAGGAUAAGCUAAGCACACUGUUGGUUAUGUGUGCCCAAGCAUUGAGGCAGUCAAAGUAGGCAAAUCCGCUUUGAUAAUGCUGGGAUGUGAUGGGGAGCGAAAUUUAGUAGCGAAGUAGCUGAUUUCACACUGUCAAGAAAAGUCUCUAUCGAGGUUAAAGGUACCCGUACCGCAAACCGACACAGGUGGGUGAGGAGAGUAUCCUAAGGCCAGCGAGAGAACUGUUGUUAAGGAACUCGGCAAAAUGACCCCGUAACUUAGGGAUAAGGGGUGCCACCAUCAGGUGGCCGCAGAGAAUAGGCCCAAGCGACUGUUUACCAAAAACAUAGGUUUCUGCUAAGUCGCAAGACGAUGUAUAGGAGCUGACGCCUGCCCGGUGCUGGAAGGUUAAGGGGAUCUGUUAGAGCAAUCGAAGCAGUGAACUUAAGCCCCAGUAAACGGCGGCCGUAACUAUAACGGUCCUAAGGUAGCGAAAUUCCUUGUCGGGUAAGUUCCGACCCGCACGAAAGGCGUAACGAUUUGGGCACUGUCUCAACAACAGACUCGGUGAAAUUGUAAUUCCGGUGAAGAUGCCGGAUACCUGCGACAGGACGGAAAGACCCCAUGGAGCUUUACUGUAGCUUGACAUUGGGUCUUGGUACUACAUGUACAGGAUAGGUGGGAGGCUUUGAAACCAGGACGCCAGUUUUGGCGGAGCCAUCCUUGGGAUACCACCCUUGUAGUACUGGGACUCUAACCAUAGGCCAUGAAUCUGGUCUUGGGACACUGUCAGGUGGGCAGUUUGACUGGGGCGGUCGCCUCCCAAAAGGUAACGGAGGCGCUCAAAGGUUCUCUCAGUACGGUCGGAAAUCGUACGUAGAGUGUAAAGGCAAAAGAGAGCUUGAUUGCAAGACAUACAGGUCGAGCAAGGAUGAAAAUCGGACUUAGUGAUCCGGUGGUUCUGCGUGGAAGGGCCAUCGCUCAACGGAUAAAAGCUACCCUGGGGAUAACAGGCUUAUCUCCCCCAAGAGUCCACAUCGACGGGGAGGUUUGGCACCUCGAUGUCGGCUCAUCACAUCCUGGGGCUGUAGUAGGUCCCAAGGGUUGGGCUGUUCGCCCAUUAAAGUGGUACGCGAGCUGGGUUCAGAACGUCGUGAGACAGUUCGGUCCCUAUCCGUCGCAGGCGUAGGAAAUUUGAGAAGACCUGUCCUUAGUACGAGAGGACCGGGAUGGACGUACCUCUGGUGUACCAGUUGUUCUGCCAAGGGCAUGGCUGGGUAGCUAUGUACGGAAUGGAUAAGCGCUGAAAGCAUCUAAGCGCGAAGCCAACUUCAAGAUAAGAUUUCCCACCGCAAGGGUAAGACCCCAGAAAGACUAUCUGGUUGAUAGGUCGAAGGUGUAAGUGCAGCAAUGUAUUUAGCUUAUCGAUACUAAUAGGUCGAGGACUUGACCAA
rnacentral:rRNA from 1 species